CAGCCGCCGCGGGAAUACGAAGGGGGCUAGCGUUGUUCGGAAUUACUGGGCGUAAAGCGCACGUAGGCGGACAUUUAAGUCAGGGGUGAAAUCCCGGGGCUCAACCCCGGAACUGCCUUUGAUACUGGGUGUCUAGAGUAUGGAAGAGGUGAGUGGAAUUCCGAGUGUAGAGGUGAAAUUCGUAGAUAUUCGGAGGAACACCAGUGGCGAAGGCGGCUCACUGGUCCAUUACUGACGCUGAGGUGCGAAAGCGUGGGGAGCAAACAGGAUUAGAUACCCGUGUAGUCCCUGUCUCUUAUAC
rnacentral:rRNA from 1 species